rnacentral:rRNA from 1 species
ACAGAGGUGGCGAGCGUUGUUCGGAAUUACUGGGCUUAAAGGGCGAGUAGGCGGUAAGGCAAGUCUGAGGUGGAAUCCUAUGGCUUAACCAUAGAACGGCCUCGGAAACUGCUUUACUUGAGUCAGUGAGGGGAGGGCGGAAUUCCUGGUGUAGCGGUGAAAUGCGUAGAUAUCAGGAGGAAGGCCUGUGGCGAAGGCGGCCCUCUGGUACUGGACUGACGCUGAGGCGCGAAAGCGUGGGGAGCAAACA